UACGAAGGGGGCGAGCGUUGUUCGGAUUUACUGGGCGUAAAGGGCGCGCAGGCGGUUCUGUUUGUCGAGUGUGAAAGCCCCGGGCUCAACCUGGGAACUGCGCUCGAAACGGCGGAACUAGAGUUCGGGAGAGGAGAGUGGAAUUCCCAGUGUAGAGGUGAAAUUCGUAGAUAUUGGGAAGAACACCGGUGGCGAAGGCGGCUCUCUGGACGAUGACUGACGCUGAGACGCGAAAGCGUGGGGAGCAAACAGG
rnacentral:rRNA from 1 species